GGCCGCGGCCACAGCCUGGGCACCUUCCGCUCUUCCUUGUCUUCUCCACCUCUCUCUUCUCUUCCACCUCUCCCUCUCUCUCCAUUCCCGGCCUCCCUUUCUCUCGUUUGUUUUUUUUCUUUUCCUUAACUUUACAGCAUUUGUUCUCCAAGUCACAGAUUCCAACCGAUUUGCGCCCAGGUUGUUUCAGAGCUGCUGUGAUGGCUGACUUCUUUCUCCUUUUCUUUUGUUGGGAAAUUUGAUAGAAAUUUUGAGAAAGUGUGUAUAAGAGGGCAAGAGUUUGGAGUUCCUCCAUGAGUUCCAAAUCUCAAACAAGCACAGAUCUGAGACUGGCUCAACAAGAUUGGCACAGCAGAGUGUCCUCUGACCUCAUCUAGGAUCUCCCAAGGAUCAGGCUAUCCUGCAUUUACAGCAUACAUGAUAUGGAUUCCUUUGGAUCAAGUUAUUAUCAUUGCUGGGGCUUCCUUGGUGGCGCAGUGGUUGAGAAUCUGCCUGCCAAUGCAGGGGACACGGGUUCGAGCCCUGGUCUGGGAAGAUCCCACAUGCCGCGGAGCAACUGGGCCCGUGAGCCACAACUACUGAGCCUGCGCAUCUGGAGCCUGUGCUCCGCGCACCGCGACGAAGAGUGGCCCCCGCUUGCCGCAACUGGAGAAAGCCCUCGCACAGAAAUGAA